CACAUACUCUCUCCCUUCGAAAAUACUUGUCAUCAAAAUGGAUAAAAAGGAUGUAUCAAGAACGAUGGAUAAAAAAGAUGUAUCUAGAACUAAAAUGCGUCUAGAUACAUCUUCUUUUAUUUAUUUUGAUGACAAGUAUUUCCGAACGGAGGGAGUACGUU
rfam:Triticum aestivum genome assembly, contig: Triticum_aestivum_CS42_TGACv1_scaffold_161029_2DL